GAGUUUGAUCAUGGCUCAGGAUGAACGCUAGCGGCAGGCUUAACACAUGCAAGUCGAGGGGUAUAGUUCUUCGGAAUUAGAGACCGGCGCACGGGUGCGUAACGCGUAUGCAAUCUACCUUUCACAGAGGGAUAGCCCAGAGAAAUUUGGAUUAAUACCUCAUAGUAUAACGACUCCGCAUGGGGAUGUUAUUAAAGUCACAACGGUGAAAGAUGAGCAUGCGUCCCAUUAGCUAGUUGGUAAGGUAACGGCUUACCAAGGCUACGAUGGGUAGGGGUCCUGAGAGGGAGAUCCCCCACACUGGUACUGAGACACGGACCAGACUCCUACGGGAGGCAGCAGUGAGGAAUAUUGGACAAUGGGCGCAAGCCUGAUCCAGCCAUGCCGCGUGCAGGAUGACGGUCCUAUGGAUUGUAAACUGCUUUUGCACAGGAAGAAACAACUCUACGUGUAGAGUCUUGACGGUACUGUGAGAAUAAGGAUCGGCUAACUCCGUGCCAGCAGCCGCGGUAAUACGGAGGAUCCAAGCGUUAUCCGGAAUCAUUGGGUUUAAAGGGUCCGUAGGCGGUUUAGUAAGUCAGUGGUGAAAGCCCAUCGCUCAACGGUGGAACGGCCAUUGAUACUGCUAGACUUGAAUUAUUAGGAAGUAACUAGAU
rnacentral:rRNA from 1 species